rnacentral:rRNA from 1 species
AUGAAUUCAGUAAGGACACUUAUAUCAUGUGCUGUAAACUUUGAUUGGGAUAUUCACCAGAUGGAUGUGAAGAAUGCUUUCCUUCAUGAUGAUCUUCAAGAAGAAGUAUACAUGCAUAUACCGCCUGGGUUUGAGUCAAGUCAAAUUGCUGGAAAGGUAUUGCGCCUACACCGUUCUUUAUACGGCUUAAAGCAAUCACCACGAGCUUGGUUUGAUCGCUUUAGACAUGCUAUGCUAAAAAGGGGUUAUCUUCAAAGUAAUGCUGACCAUACACUCUUUUACAAGCAUAUUAAUGGCAAGGUUGCCAUCUUGAUAGUGUAUGUCGAUGACAUUGUGAUUACUGGAGAUUAUUCCAAGGAAGUUGCAGAUCUGAAGUGUCAUCUUGCACACGAGUUUGAAGUGAAGGACUUGGGACAACUAAGAUAUUUUCUUGGUAUAGAGGUCUCACGAGGGUCAAAGGGUAUUUUUCUCUCACAGCGAAAAUAUAUCUUGGAUCUGCUCAAGAAAACAGGUAUGCUUGGUUGUCGACCUGCUGCUACACCUAUUGAGCAAAAUCAUCGGUUAUGUAGUGAUGCAGGGACACCAGUGGAUCGAGAGCGCUACCAAAGACUAGUUGGAAGAUUAAUAUAUUUAUCUCAUACCCGUCCAGAUAUUGCCUUUGCUGUGAGUGUAGUUAGCCAAUACAUGCAUGACCCAAAAUCAGUUCAUAUGGAAGCUGUAAAUAGGAUCCUACGGUAUCUUAAAGGGUGCCCAGGAAAAGGCCUCUUAUAUACCAGACAAGGGGACUUGCAAGAUGCUGAUUGGGCUGGUUCCCUAGAUGACACGCGCUCAACAUCUGGUUACUGUGCAUUUAUUGGAGGAAACCUAGUUUCAUGGCGAAGUAAGAAACAAAAUGUGGUGGCUCGGUCUACUGCAGAGGCCGAGUUUAGGUCUAUGGCUCACGGCAUAUGUGAGUUAUUAUGGUUGCAGAUUCUCCUAGCAGAGUUGCGGUUGUACAAGCACAAACCUCUGAUGUUGUACUGUGACAACAAAGCUGCCAUUGAUAUUGCAAAUAAUCCUGUUCAGCAUGAUCGAACCAAGCACAUAGAAAUUGAUCAUCAUCAAGGAGAAGCUUGA